CCUACGGGUGGCUGCAGUGGGGAAUAUUGGACAAUGGGCGAAAGCCGGAUCCAGCCAUGCCGCGUGUGUGAAGAAGGCCUUCGGGUUGUAAAGCACUUUCAGUGGGGAAGAAAGCCUUGGGGCUAAUACCCUCGAGGAAGGACAUCACCCACAGAAGAAGCACCGGCUAACUCCGUGCCAGCAGCCGCGGUAAUACGGAGGGUGCGAGCGUUAAUCGGAAUUACUGGGCGUAAAGCGCGCGUAGGCGGUCUGAUAAGCCGGUUGUGAAAGCCCCGGGCUCAACCUGGGAACGGCAUCCGGAACUGUCAGGCUAGAGUGCAGGAGAGGAAGGUAGAAUUCCCGGUGUAGCGGUGAAAUGCGUAGAGAUCGGGAGGAAUACCAGUGGCGAAGGCGGCCUUCUGGACUGACACUGACGCUGAGGUGCGAAAGCGUGGGUAGCAAACAGGAUUAGAUACCCUUGUAGUC
rnacentral:rRNA from 1 species